UACGUAGGUGGCAAGCGUUGUCCGGAUUUACUGGGCGUAAAGCGCACGUAGGCGGUUCGUUAUGUCGGAUGUGAAAGCCCUUGGCUUAACCGAGGAAGUGCAUCCGAAACUGGCGAGCUAGAGUACGAAAGAGGAUCGCGGAAUUCCCGGUGUAGAGGUGAAAUUCGUAGAUAUCGGGAGGAACACCGGUGGCGAAGGCGGCGAUCUGGGUCGAUACUGACGCUGAGGUGCGAAAGCGUGGGGAGCAAACAGG
rnacentral:rRNA from 1 species